UACGUAGGGGGCAAGCGUUGUCCGGAUUUAUUGGGCGUAAAGAGCGUGUAGGCGGCCAAGCAGGUCCGCUGUGAAAACUCGAGGCUCAACCUCGAGACGUCGGUGGAAACCGUUUGGCUAGAGUCCGGAAGAGGAGAGUGGAAUUCCCGGUGUAGCGGUGAAAUGCGUAGAUAUCAGGAGGAACACCUGUGGCGAAAGCGGCUCACUGGACCAUAACUGACGCUGAUGCACGAAAGCUAGGGGAGCAAACAGG
rnacentral:rRNA from 1 species